rnacentral:rRNA from 1 species
AGUCGACGGAAGGCCCCUUCGGGGGUGCUCGAGUGGCGAACGGGUGAGUAACACGUGGGUGAUCUGCCCUGCACUUUGGGAUAAGCCUGGGAAACUGGGUCUAAUACCGGAUAGGACCACGGCAUGCAUGUGCUGUGGUGGAAAGCUUUUGCGGUGUGGGAUGGGCCCGCGGCCUAUCAGCUUGUUGGUGGGGUGAUGGCCUACCAAGGCGACGACGGGUAGCCGGCCUGAGAGGGUGUCCGGCCACACUGGGACUGAGAUACGGCCCAGACUCCUACGGGAGGCAGCAGUGGGGAAUAUUGCACAAUGGGCGCAAGCCUGAUGCAGCGACGCCGCGUGGGGGAUGACGGCCUUCGGGUUGUAAACCUCUUUCAGCCAUGACGAAGCGCAAGUGACGGUAGUGGCAGAAGAAGCACCGGCCAACUACGUGCCAGCAGCCGCGGUAAUACGUAGGGUGCGAGCGUUGUCCGGAAUUACUGGGCGUAAAGAGCUCGUAGGUGGUUUGUCGCGUUGUUCGUGAAAACUCACAGCUUAACUGUGGGCGUGCGGGCGAUACGGGCAGACUGGAGUACUGCAGGGGAGAUUGGAAUUCCUGGUG